rnacentral:rRNA from 1 species
GAUGAACGCUGGCGGCGUGCCUAAUACAUGCAAGUCGAGCGAAUGGAUUAAGAGCUUGCUCUUAUGAAGUUAGCGGCGGACGGGUGAGUAACACGUGGGUAACCUGCCCAUAAGACUGGGAUAACUCCGGGAAACCGGGGCUAAUACCGGAUAACAUUUUGAACCGCAUGGUUCGAAAUUGAAAGGCGGCUUCGGCUGUCACUUAUGGAUGGACCCGCGUCGUAUUAGCUAGUUGGUGAGGUAACGGCUCACCAAGGCAACGAUGCGUAGCCGACCUGAGAGGGUGAUCGGCCACACUGGGACUGAGACACGGACCAGACUCCUACGGGAGGCAGCAGUAGGGAAUCUUCCGCAAUGGACGAAAGUCUGACGGAGCAACGCCGCGUGAGUGAUGAAGGCUUUCGGGUCGUAAAACACUGUUGUUAGGGAAGAACAAGUGCUAGUUGAAUAAGCUGGCACCUUGACGGUACCUAACCAGAAAGCCACGGCUAACUACGUGCCAGCCGCCGCCGUAA